GAUGAACGCUGGCGGUAGGCCUAACACAUGCAAGUCGUGCGCGAAAGCGGCUUCGGCCGCGUGUAGAGCGGCGAACGGGUGAGUAACACGUGGACAACCUGCCCAAGAGUGGGGGAUAACCUGGGGAAACUCGGGCUAAUACCGCAUACGUUCGUGGGGCUUCGGCCCUCGCGCAGAAAGGUAGGCCUAUGCUUGCAAGCCACCCGCUCCUGGAGGGGUCCGGCGUCUGAUUAGCUAGUUGGCGGGGUAAGUGGCCCGACCCAAGGCGACGAUCCGUAGCUGGUCUGAGAGGAUGAUCAGCCACACUGGAAC
rnacentral:rRNA from 1 species